rnacentral:rRNA from 1 species
UACGUAGGGGGCAAGCGUUGUCCGGAAUCAUUGGGCGUAAAGAGCGUGUAGGCGGCCCGAUAAGUCCGCUGUAAAAGUCCAGGGCUCAACCCUGGAAUGCCGGUGGAUACUGUCGGGCUCGAAUCCGGAAGAGGUGAGUGGAAUUCCUGGUGUAGCGGUGAAAUGCGCAGAUAUCAGGAGGAACACCAAUGGCGAAGGCAGCUCACUGGGACGGUAUUGACGCUGAGACGCGAAAGCGUGGGGAGCAAACAGG